UCUGACGAGGUACAGUAGCAAUCGAGGGAGAUCGAAGGUCUCCUUCUCAACGGCAAUGCCUGCGAUCUACAAGCGUUUGAGCAUCGCCGGAGGACUACGAAGCUGAGGGAAGCUGCACAGAUGGCUUAUUGUCGCCAAGGGCCCAAGCUCAAGGGUAAAGCCCGAGGAGGAAGGAGGGGGAGCGUUUAUGUUCUUGCUCUUCUUCUAAUCCAAUCCAUGGAUUGGUUCCCAGUAACAUAUCCCCUCGUCGAUCUGAUACAAGGACUUUUCAAAAGAGCAAUCUUAGAUCGACCAGAUGGUGAGGUGUACCGGUAUUCACGUAAUCGUCUUCGUUAUGACAUUACUUUGAACUCUGAAGCUAUAGGGGAAGAAGAAUCAUAUGGAACUGGACACUAGCUUCCAGCUUACACUUGCAGGAUUAUCAGUUGAGGACUAUUACUAACACUACUAUGAAGAAAAGCCCCAUUACAACUGAAGAAGAACAAUUGCUCAUCCAGCUUCAUGCACAGAUGGGCAGCAAGUGAGUUAAGAUGUUUCCUGGCCAUAUUGAAAAGAGUUGAAUAACUUUUCGAACACGCAGUAACAAGGAGAUGCUGACCAACUGGCUACCCAUUCAUCCAGUGUAUGAUUCUUCUCAAGCUUCAAAUCAAAACCACCAAGAAGUUGAUGCCCAGCCAGAAAUUCCUGCUUUAGUAGCUGAGUACUUCUUGGCUAGUGGUUCACAAGUAUCCUACGUGAGAAUGUUUGCUGACACCUUUGGAAGUAGAAUGCCACAUCUGAAGUUUCUCUGGAGGGAGCAUCGAGGCAGGAAAUCAUCUCAAACAUCGACAUGGCUGUGAAACUCUAGAUAGUUGCUAUGGUAAUAGCAGCCACACUGGAAUUGCCGCUCACUGAUCAAUCUGCGGUUCCACCUUUUGGGGAUGUUUUUGAUCCCAACAUUAGCAGUUCAACUGUGGUCGAUGAGGAACACACAAGAUGUGGCUCCAAGAGGCAGAAAUGUGAUAAAAACUCGAGUUGUCCUGAUGAUGCUGUCAUCCAGAAUUAUGAAAUUUCUGAUUGUGUUGACUUGGAGUCUGAUUUGCGAAACAUUGACGAGGAUUUUUUUCAACAGCUAGGAAGUUGAUGUAGGAGCUGCUGCUGCUGAUGUUCCUCAGUGUUUUGAAGCUGAUGUGCAAGCUUUACUGAAUGCUUCAACAUUUCAAGAUCCAUUUCUCUUCGAAAACCCUGUUGCCAUCAUUGAACACAAUGAAUUCCUUACAAUUCAGGUGAUAACUUCUUUUAAUUUCUUGAGUUUGUUUAACUAUUGAUGCUACUUGAAGAAACUCGGCUCAAGGAAAACUAUCUAGUAGCAAACUCUAACCCCAUGAGUGAGGAUGAAAUAGAACACCCGUGGAACAAGAAUUUUGCAAUGAACACAAGAUGACACUUCCUGAAGCUAUCAACUGUGAGCUCUUUGGCUUAAUAUGACGCGUGUAUUUGCUCCAAAGGGCAACAAGGAGCAUUACGAAAUGCCUCCAAACCUAAUGAAAUAGCAGUAAAUGUUGAACAUCUUUUGAUUGCUACCAUGAAGAAGAAACUUGUCUUAUCUAAGGAAUUACUCAAAUAAAGUUGGUUCAAGCACUAUUGGAACAAACUUUUUCAGAGUGGAACUUGAAGAUUUGAUGAAGCAAAUUGGUAAGUGAUUAGCCCGGUGCAGAUGUUCCAGGAUUUUUAAGAGGACAACACCACCUAUUGAAAAUUACGGAUAUUGAUACAACCUUGGGUACGAUUAGUUAGCUCAUCAAUAAGUUGAUGGCAUAAACCAGUGAAGCUUGAUACGUGUAUUUUGUUUUGUUUAUACUAUCGACGUAUUUUUUUGAUUAUAGACAUCAUCGUUUUGAUUUUGUCA